rnacentral:rRNA from 1 species
UACAGAGACUGCAAGCGUUAUUCGGAUUCACUGGGCGUAAAGGGUGCGCAGGCGGUCGGGUGUGUCAGAUGUGAAAUCCCGAGGCUCAACCUCGGAACUGCGUCUGAAACUACUCGACUAGAGUACUGGAGAGGGAAACGGAAUUCACGGUGUAGCAGUGAAAUGCGUAGAUAUCGUGAGGAACACCAGAGGCGAAGGCGGUUUCCUGGACAGUUACUGACGCUCAGGCACGAAAGCAUGGGGAGCAAACAGG